CCUACGGGGGGCUGCAGUGGGGAAUAUUGGACAAUGGGGGGAACCCUGAUCCAGCCAUGCCGCGUGUGUGAAGAAGGCCCUCGGGUUGUAAAGCACUUUCAGUGAGGAAGAACGCCUGGUGGUUAAUACCCAUCAGGAAAGACAUCACUCACAGAAGAAGCACCGGCUAACUCCGUGCCAGCAGCCGCGGUAAUACGGAGGGUGCGAGCGUUAAUCGGAAUUACUGGGCGUAAAGCGCGCGUAGGUGGCUUGAUAAGCCGGUUGUGAAAGCCCCGGGCUCAACCUGGGAACGGCAUCCGGAACUGUCAAGCUAGAGUGCAGGAGAGGAAUGUAGAAUUCCCGGUGUAGCGGUGAAAUGCGUAGAGAUCGGGAGGAAUACCAGUGGCGAAGGCGGCCUUCUGGACUGACACUGACACUGAGGUGCGAAAGCGUGGGUAGCAAACAGGAUUAGAUACCCGAGUAGUC
rnacentral:rRNA from 1 species